rnacentral:rRNA from 1 species
UACGGAGGGUGCGAGCGUUGUCCGGAAUCAUUGGGCGUAAAGGGCGCGUAGGUGGCCCGGUGAGUCUUUGGUGAAAGCGCGGGGCUCAACCCUGCGUCGGCCAGGGAUACUGCCGCGGCUCGAGCACUGUAGAGGCAGGCGGAAUUCCGGGUGUAGCGGUGGAAUGCGUAGAGAUCCGGAAGAACACCGGUGGCGAAGGCGGCCUGCUGGGCAGUAUAGCUGACACUGAGGCGCGACAGCGUGGGGAGCAAACAGG